AUUGAACGCUGGCGGAAUGCUUUACACAUGCAAGUCGAACGGCAGCGCGGGGGCAACCCUGGCGGCGAGCGGCGAACGGGUGAGUAAUACAUCGGAACGUGUCCUUAAGUGGGGGAUAGCUCGGCGAAAGCCGGAUUAAUACCGCAUAAGCUCUGAGGAGGAAAGCGGGGGCUCCGUAAGGACCUCGCGCUGUUGGAGCGGCCGAUGUCGGAUUAGCUAGUUGGUGGGGUAAAGGCCCACCAAGGCGACGAUCCGUAGCUGGUCUGAGAGGAUGAUCAGCCACACUGGAACUGAGACACGGUCCAGACUCCUACGGGAGGCAGCAGUGGGGAAUUUUGGACAAUGGGGGCAACCCUGAUCCAGCCAUUCCGCGUGAGUGAAGAAGGCCUU
rnacentral:rRNA from 1 species